ensembl:lncRNA
GAAAGGCUGAAGUUCUGUAUUUCGACCACAUAAAAGGACUGGCUGGCCAUAAGAUCCAGACAUUCCUAUCCCUCUGAAGAGGAUCUGAAUCUAGGAACUAUGGCAGAAGUGAGAAAGGAUCCUGGGGAAUAACUAGCAUACAUGAAGAUGCUCAAGUAUUAAGGACGCUAGUGAUGUGAAAGCCCUGACUUGUUCCUGGUCUGGUAGUGAUCUGGUGCACUUGUGCUAGCAGAAGUAUCAGAACAGUGUAGAAGAAUUGUCCUUCCUCUUGACAACUUGCCAUCCCAUACCCAAGUACUUAGAGUGCUAGCUUAAUGGGAGAUCCACAUUCUCUGCUUGCCUUGGAGAACGACUCCAACUCUUGCCUCAGAGAAGAUAAGGUUACAAUAGCACUAUAUGAAUCUUUUAAGAAGCCCUUGCCCUUGCGGUGUGAAGAGAGUAUGGAAGAGUACUGCUUUGGGAAAAAAAUAAUAGCAAUGUUUCAGUCAACCUAGGCAGGUGAAGAAGAUAGAGUAGCAAGGGUCAAGGUUUUGUUUAAUCUUUGUUAGAGAAGGAUUUGAACCCAAGUCUCUCACAACUGUUGGCUGUUGAAUGAUGGAGAAGCCAAUUGCGUCCACUUCUGCAUCUCCUGAGAGAGGAUAGAUGUGGUGGCAGCUCUGAGCCAAUGAGCCACCACCCAGUUCGUAGGUAGUGAGCACCUCUCUUUUAGAUGCUUCCCAUCACUUGAGGAGCCUCCACACUUAUUUUCCUUGAACCUCAUUGAGAAGUACCUCAUUCUUCUAUAUGAAGUACCAGGAUACUGUAUAUUACAAAGGACUGUGAGUUCUAAUAUAUGCCAGCCCACAUGAUUUCAGUACCUGAGUCUCUGAAUGGAUUAGCUCCUGACUGCUGUAUGCUUCAGUUCACCUUUGAUACGGGCA